rnacentral:rRNA from 1 species
AUUGAACGCUGGCGGCAGGCCUAACACAUGCAAGUCGAGCGAGCGGCGGACGGGUGAGUAAUGUAUGGGGACUGCCCGAUAGAGGGGGAUAACUACUGGAAACGGUGGCUAAUACCGCAUACUAUCGGAUAACCCAUAUGGGAUUAGCUAGUAGGUGGGGUAAAGGCUCACCUAGGCGACGAUCGCUAGCUGGUCUGAGAGGAUGAUGAGCAAAACUGGAACUGAGAAACGGCCCAGAGACCUACGGAGGCAGAAGUGGGGAAUAUUGCACAAUGGGGGAAAGCUGGAUGCAGACAUGCGGCGGGGAGGAAGAAGGCCUGAGGGUUGUAAAGUACUUGCAGCGGGAAGGCGUUACCCGAAGAAGAAGCACCGGCUAACUCCGUGUCAGCCGCCGCGGUAAUUC